GGAGGAAGGUGUUGAGGUUAAUAACCUCGUCAAUUGACGUUACCCGCAGAAGAAGCACCGGCUAACUCCGUGCCAGCAGCCGCGGUAAUACGGAGGGUGCAAGCGUUAAUCGGAAUUACUGGGCGUAAAGCGCACGCAGGCGGUCUGUCAAGUCGGAUGUGAAAUCCCCGGGCUCAACCUGGGAACUGCAUUCGAAACUGGCAGGCUAGAGUCUUGUAGAGGGGGGUAGAAUUCCAGGUGUAGCGGUGAAAUGCGUAGAGAUCUGGAGGAAUACCGGUGGGCGAAGGCGGCCCCCUGGACAAAGACUGACGCUCAGGU
rnacentral:rRNA from 1 species